CAGAAGGACAGCCUAGACAGCUGAGAAUGCAUGUGGCCAGUGGGUCAUGGCAUUAUAAGGAGAUAAAAGACAACUCAGAAAUUCAUCAAUGUGGGGUCAGCAGAAGAGAAUCAGCGUUGCAGGUGCCAGGGGCUGAGAAAGUAAAUCCUGAAAUAAAAGGAAAAACACGAACAUGUGCUGGGAAUUUUACUGGAAGCUCAGCAGCUGGAAUAUAACCACUGAGAUCAACUCCGAUGUUGUCAGUGCAGAAGAGCCAGCAGUGGAGGUGGUUUUCUGUAACACCAGUAUCCCCCACAGCCGGAGUCUGGACAAAAACAUUUCUGUCAUUCUGGAAUGCAUAUGGAGAGAGAGCAAAGAGAUAUAUGUGCUACUAGGCUUUUUUUUCUUCACAGUAACCUGAAUUCAUGACAUUUAUUCUAAGCACAGCUGUUACUGUCUUUCAGCUGUAAAAAAAAAUAAAGAGGAAAAAAAUUCUUUUGGCA
rnacentral:lncRNA from 1 species